rnacentral:pre_miRNA from 14 species
UCUUUGGAGAUGAGGGUGGUCACUCAUCCCAGACGAGUCCCCAAAUGAAAGACCCCAGGAGUGGGGAGACCCUCACUCAAGUCUCAGGAUGACACACCCCCCCAAAGAACUCACACAAGACC